GGAGGACCGUCCGUCUUCAUCUUCCCCCCGAAACCCAAGGACACCCUCACAAUAUCCCGAACACCGGAAGUCUCCUGCAUGGUGGUGGACGUGAGCAAGGAGGACCCCAAUGUCCAGUUCUCCUGGUACGUGGACGGUGUAGAGGUGCACACGGCCAAGACAAAGCCAAAGGAGGAGCAGUUCAACAGCACCUACCGUGUGGUCAGCGCCCUGCCCAUCCAGCACCAGGACUGGCUGACGGGAAAGGAGUUCAAGUGCAAGGUCAACAGCAAAGGCCUCCCAGCCCCCAUUGUGAGAACCAUCUCCAAGGACAAAGGGCAGACCCACGAGCCACAGGUGUACGUACUGGCCCCACCGCAGGAAGAGCUGGCCAAGAGCUCAGUCACCUUAACUUGCAUGGUCACCGACUUCUACCCGGGCGACAUCGACGUGGAGUGGCAGAGAAACGGGCAGCCAGAGUCAGUGGGCAAAUACAAUACAACGCCACCCCAGCAGGAGGACGAAGACUCCUUCUUCCUGUACAGCAAGCUCAGGGUGGACAAGACGAGCUGGCAGCAGGGAGACACCUACACGUGUGUAGUUUUGCACGAGGCUCUACACAAUCACAACACGCAGAAGUCCAUCUCCCAG